rnacentral:rRNA from 1 species
UGGGGAAUUUUGGACAAUGGGCGAAAGCCUGAUCCAGCAAUGCCGCGUGUGUGAAGAAGGCCUUCGGGUUGUAAAGCACUUUUGUCCGGAAAGAAAUCCUUGGCUCUAAUACAGUCGGGGGAUGACGGUACCGGAAGAAUAAGCACCGGCUAACUACGUGCCAGCAGCCGCGGUAAUACGUAGGGUGCAAGCGUUAAUCGGAAUUACUGGGCGUAAAGCGUGCGCAGGCGGUUUGCUAAGACCGAUGUGAAAUCCCCGGGCUCAACCUGGGAACUGCAUUGGUGACUGGCAGGCUAGAGUAUGGCAGAGGGGGGUAGAAUUCCACGUGUAGCAGUGAAAUGCGUAGAGAUGUGGAGGAAUACCGAUGGCGAAGGCAGCCCCCUGGCAAGUACUGACGCUCAUGCACGAAAAGCGUGGGGAGCAAACAGGAUUAGAUACCCUGGUAGUCCACGCCCUAAAACGAUGUCAACUAGUUGUUGGGGAUUCAUUUUCCUAGNAACGUAGCUAACGCGUGAAGUUGACCGCCUGGGGAGUAC